rnacentral:rRNA from 1 species
GCCCAAGAGAUCGGGAUAACACCUGGAAACAGAUGCUAAUACCGGAUAACAACAGAUGAUGCCUAUCAACUGUUUAAAAGAUGGUUCUGCUAUCACUCUUGGAUGGACCUGCGGUGCAUUAGCUAGUUGGUAGGGUAACGGCCUACCAAGGCGAUGAUGCAUAGCCGAGUUGAGAUACUGAUCGGCCACAUUGGGACUGAGACACGGCCCAAACUCCUACGGAGGCAGCAGCG